rnacentral:rRNA from 1 species
UUAGAGACUUCGGUUUCUAUGAAAGUGGCGCACGGGUGCGUAACACGUAUGCAACCUACCUUCAAUUGGGGGAUAGCCUUCCGAAAGGGAGAUUAAUACCGCAUAAGAUAUCAGAAUGGCAUCAUUUAGAUAUUAAAACUUUGGUGAUUGAAGAUGGGCAUGCGUUGCAUUAGCUAGUUGGUAAGGUAACGGCUUACCAAGGCUACGAUGCAUAGGGGAUCUGAGAGGAUGGUCCCCCACACUGGUACUGAGAUACGGACCAGACUCCUACGGGAGGCAGCAGUAAGGAAUAUUGGUCAAUGGACGGAAGUCUGAACCAGCCAUGCCGCGUGCAGGAAGACGGCCCUAUGGGUUGUAAACUGCUUUUGUCGGGGAAUAAACCUAGAUACGUGUAUUUAGUUGAAGGUACCCGAAGAAUAAGGAUCGGCUAACUCCGUGCCAGCAGCCGCGGUAAUACGGAGGAUCCAAGCGUUAUCCGGAUUUAUUGGGUUUAAAGGGUGCGUAGGCGGUAAAUUAAGUCAGAGGUGAAAGCCUGCAGCUCAACUGUAGAACUGCCUUUGAUACUGGUUUACUUGAGUACAGAUGAAGUGGGCGGAAUGUGACAAGUAGCGGUGAAAUGCAUAGAUAUGUCACAGAACACCGAUUGCGAAGGCAGCUCACUAAAGUGUAACUGACGCUGAGGCACGAAAGCGUGGGGAUCAAACAGGAUUAGA